GUUUCAUAAAUACCCAAUCACAAAUCCAGUCAUUGGCAUGCUUGUCUGCUAAGCUCUUUUGUUGAUCCUGGGCCACUUUCAGGUUAGACUUAAUUACCUAAAUAUUUUGAGUAGUUUCAUCCACAAUCUCCCGGCCCACCAAAACUCUUUCACCCACUUCUGACCAGCAUAAUGGCGUUUGACAAAACUUGCCAUAGAAUGCCUCAAAAGGUGCCAUACCAAUACUCAAAUGGCAACUGUUGUUGUAGGCGAACUCCAUCAAAUCUAAACAAUCAUGCCAACCAUCGCCA
rnacentral:lncRNA from 1 species